UCAGGAUAUUUUUAUUUACUUUGUUAAAUAUUUUCAAAUUGCAUUUUAAUCUGGAUCUUGUAGCACCGAGUGUUUAACACCUCUGGACCAGGGGACACAGAUAAGUUCAAGAAGACAUAAAUAACACAAGAGGAAAAAGUAGCAAUAGAAGAUUUUCCCCAGGAACCUGAGGAAUAUUCUUACACGAGCACAGAGAUGUCCUCAAUGAGAAAAUGGAAACACUUAGUAAUUACAGGUUGAGGCAGAAACUCAGGAAAUCUUUGCCCAAAGUAUCUGUAGGGAAGAAUGACCACCACUCCUGCUGCCACUGACCUGAUAAGGCCUUCCAGUAAUCUCAUCAAACACUACAUGUGUGGGGCUCGCUCCCAGCUAGGUAUUGUGACUCUGCUUUUCCGUCCUGAGCGAUGGAUGUGCCAUGUGCCUGCUUUGUCUCUCUGUAGGGCUAUCCUGAGAGGGCAGCAUUACUGUUUUCCUGGUGAUAUUAGAUGUCUAUUAAUCAUGGAACUUCAUGGUCUCAGAUGAACCAAAAUAUCAGAAGAACUAAAGGAUGAAUGAUAGCUGGGGCAUAUUACCAAUGUGGCUAUGAAAAAAAGACCGUAAGAAAAGUUAUUGAGGACAUACAUGUCCAGAGAAGGAAGGGCAAGGUAUAAUAGGUGUCCAGUUUAAAAGCAAAAUUAGUAUCCAUGAAAUAUUAAAGCAUUAGAGAAAGAUUGUACUUGUUAGAUCAACCUGGGGGGAUUUUAAAAUGGAGAAUACCACGAAUCACAUAAGGGGACAGAAGAAUACAGACUAUUCAUAGCAAUGAGAUCACAUAUCCAGCUAAGUAUCUAAAUUUAAUUAAUCUGAACAAGCU
rnacentral:lncRNA from 1 species